UUAAAUGGCGGUGAGGUGAUUUGGCGUUUUUUACUUCAAGAAUUUCUAGUGUUCCUGAAUGGAUGAGAUACUCCCAAGAAGUUCUUCCAGCUUUUUGCCAUUAUAAUAUUAUGAAAUUUUACUAUAAGAAAAUUUUCAUUUUAUUAUAACAUUGGUAACAAUGUUUGGGAAACUUCCUUGCAUCAAAAGAUUCUUGGUUAACCUUAUUUUGAAAAGUUAUAAAAUGUAUCGUGAUCACCAUUAUUUUAAAAAUAGAAGUUCCCUUCCAAAAUUUAUUCAAAAGUCAUUUUUUCAUACCUAGAAAAAAUUUGUAGUUUCGAUUUUUAAAAAUCGUUACUUAAAUUAAGAUAACUCUUCUAUGCUGUUUUUCUUAAUUUUUUGAACAUGAAUUGUUAAUUACAUGAAUUGUUAAAAUGUGUAUUAGUUUUAUGAUGGGUUUUAUUUGGGGUACCAAACGAUCACUUUUUUUGAAUUUUUUUAAGAAAAUCGAUUUAUAAUUUGAAAUAAAAAAUCUAUUUGAGACAUGCUUUAUAAAUUAAAAAUUAUGUUGAAAAACCAAUAUUAGAACAAAAUUUGAAAUUAAAAUAAAAAAUCAAAACCAUUUUAAAAAUAAAAUGAAAAAAAAUCAUUCCACAUACUUCAGUUAUGGUCAAUAAAAACACCCCUGCUGUAUGUAUUGGUUGUAUGUUGCGGGAUAACAUUAAAUUUUCCGCAAUCCACAAUGCUGUUAGCUAGAUACAGAUUGCUUCUGUUGGCUGGGGGUGGGGUGGAGAUAAGUUCAAAUUCAAUUUUAAAAUGUUUUUUAUUUUUGAAUUCAGUUUAUUCUUCGUAAAAAUGUUCUAACCGAUUUCUAAUUCGUUUUUAAAUUUCCAAUUUAUAAAGACUAUUUUGUUUAAAAUCUUGAAUUGGUUUUACAAAAUUGCAUUUUAGUUUUUACUUUUUAACUUAUUUUGAUUUUUGAGUUUACUUUCAAAUUUGUUUCCAUAUUGAUUUCUUUUUUAACUUAUUUUUUUAUUUUCGUCAAAGCAUGUUUCAAAUAAAUUGUCAGUUUCAAAUUGUACAUAGAAUUUAAGGAAAAAAAUUCCAAAAAGACCCCAGUUUUAUCAAAAUUUUAUGAGUAUGAAAAUAUGUAUCAUUUUUUCAAACAAAAAAUUUAUCCGUUGUUCAAAUGUAUUAACUGAAAAUUCAUUACUUUUAAAAAAUUCUUCGAAAAGUACAGAAAUAAUUUAAUUCGUUGGGCAUUUUCAAAGCAUCAUUUUUUGUUUGUUAAUAGAAAAUUGACGCAUUUUUGUUACGAAAAACUACAUGCAAUCUAGGUUAGUUCAAAUGUUAGUUAUUUACAUGUUAGUUUUAACCUCUAAAUUUUUCAAACAUCCAAAAUGUUAACAAACGGAGCUAUUUUAAGAUAGAAGGUAAUAAUGAAAAGAAGCUUUUUUUGUGUGGAUCUUAACAUUUCUACAUAUUUUCAAUAACAUGUUUUUAAUUUAUUUUUUUAAAGUCCGAAAAUAUUAUUUUCCUGCAAAUGAUUUGAACGCAACAAUUUCACGACGUUCAAUUUCAAAGUUUCCACGAAGUAAAAAAUAUUUUAAACUAUGCAAAGCGUAUUUCUGUUGGUAGUUGGAUACACAAAUAUUUUAGAAAAGUGCUGAAAUAAAUUAUUCUAAAUUUGAAA